rnacentral:sRNA from 1 species
CAAAAGUCCCUGAACUUCCCAACGAAUCCGCAUUAAAUAUUAUGCCCAUGCGGGGAAGGAUGAGAAGCUUCGACCAAGGUUCGACUCGAGCGCCAGCGAGAGAGCGUUGCCGCAGGCAACGACCCGAAGGGCGAAGCGCGCAGCGCUGAGUAAUCCUUCCCCCACCACCA